rnacentral:rRNA from 1 species
AGAGCCUACCAUGGUGGUAACGGGUAACGGGGUGUUAGGGCACGACACCGGAGAGGGAGCCUGAGAAACGGCUACCACAUCCAAGGAUGGCAGCAGGCGCGCAAAUUACCCAAUCCCGACACGGGGAGGUAGUGACAAUAAAUAACAAUACGGGGUUCUUUAGGAUCUCGUAAUUGGAAUGAGUACAAUUUAAAUCUCUUAACGAGGAACAAUUGGAGGGCAAGUCUGGUGCCAGCAGCCGCGGUAAUUCCAGCUCCAAUAGCGUAUAUUAAAGUUGUUGCAGUUAAAAAGCUCGUAGUUGAAUUUCGGGGUUAGUAGAUUGGUCAUGCCUCUAGUAUGUACUGGUCUCACUGAUUCCUCCUUCCUGAUGAUCCGUAAUGCCCUUAAUUUGGUGUUGCGGGGAAUUUGGACUGUUACUUUGAAAAAAUUAGAGUGUUUAAAGCAAGCUAACGCUUGAAUACAUUAGCAUGGAAUAAUGAAAUAGGACGUUCGAUCCUAUUUUGUUGGUUUCUAGGAUUGACGUAAUGAUUAAUAGGGAUAGUUGAGGGCAUUAGUAUUCAAUUGUCAGAGGUGAAAUUCUUGGAUUUAUUGAAGACUAACUACUGCGAAAGCAUUUGCCAAGGAUGUUUUCAUUAAUCAAGAACGAAGGUUAGGGGAUCGAAGACGAUCAGAUACCGUCGUAGUCUUAACCAUAAACUAUGCCGACUAGGGAUCGGAUGAUGUUAAUUUUUUAAUGACUCAUUCGGCGCCUUACGGGAAACCAA